rnacentral:rRNA from 1 species
CACGGGGGGAGCAAGCGUUGUUCGGAAUCACUGGGCGUAAAGGGCGUGUAGGCGGUUUGGUAAGUGGAAUGUGAAAUCCCCCGGCUUACCCGGGGAUCUGCAUCCCAAACUGCUUGGCUUGAGUACGGGAGAGGAUAGGGGAAUUCCUGGUGUAGCGGUGAAAUGCGUAGAUAUCAGGAGGAACACCGGUGGCGAAGGCGCCUAUCUGGCCCGAUACUGACGCUGAGGCGCGAAAGCUAGGGGAGCAAACGGG